rnacentral:misc_RNA from 1 species
UCCGACUUAACGUCGGCAGUCCCUUUAGAGUGCCCAACUAAAUGCUGGCAACUAAAGGCAAGGGUUGCGCUCGUUGCGGGACUUAACCCAACAUCUCACGACACGAGCUGACGACAACCAUGCACCACCUGUACACCGCCCUUGCGGACCCCGUAUCUCUACGAGUUUUCGGUGCAUGUCAAGCCUUGGUAAGGUUCUUCGCGUUGCGUCGAAUUGAACCACAUGCUCCGCUGCUUGUGCGGGCCCCCGUCAAUUCCUUUGAGUUUUAGCCUUGCGGCCGUACUCCCCAGGCGGGGUGCUUAAUGCGUUAGCUGCGGCACGGAACUCGUGGAAUGAGCCCCACACCUAGCGCCCAACGUUUACGGCGUGGACUAC